rnacentral:SRP_RNA from 1 species
ACUGGGUGUGGUAGUACAAACAUAUGUAAUCUCAGCUACUGGGAGGUGGAAGCUGGCACACUUCUUGAGCUCAGAGUUCUAAGCUACAAUGGGCUACAUGAAUCAUGUGUCUGAAGUGAGUUCCACUUCAAUAUUUUGAGCCCUAGAAGCAGGGACCACUAGCUUGCCUGAGGAGUGGCAAACAGGCCCAGGUUGGAAACAGGAUAGGUCAAAGCUCCUAUGCCAGUCAGCAGUGGGAUUAGGCCUUGAAAGAUCUCUGCACUUCCAGCCUGGGCCAAAUGAGGGGACCUAGUCUUU